rnacentral:tRNA from 1 species
GGUGGCGUGGCGCAAAUGGCAGACGCGUGCAGCUUAAGUCUGCAAUGACUGAGGGUUCAAAUCCCUCCGCCACUA